rnacentral:rRNA from 1 species
GACGAACGCUGGCGGCGUGCCUAAUACAUGCAAGUCGAACGCAUUUUCUUUCACUGUAGCUUGCUACACCGAAAGAAACUGAGUGGCGAACGGGUGAGUAACACGUCGGUAACCUGCCCAUCAUUGGGGGAUAACACUUGGAUACAGGUGCUAAUAUCGCAUAAUUCCAUUUACCGCAUGGUAGUUAGAUGAAAGGCGCUUUUGAGUCACUGUUGGAUGUACCUGCGGUGCAUUUGCUAGUUGGUGGGGUAACGGCCUACCAAGGCUGCGAUGCAUAGCCGACAUGAGAGGGUGAGAGGACACACUGGGACUGGGACACGGCCCAGACUACUAGGGAAGGGAGCAGUAGGGAAACUUCAGCAAUGGACGAAAGUCUGAACGAGCAACGCCGCGGGAGUGAAGAAGGAUGUCGGAUCGUAAAAAUCUGUUGUUAGAGAAGAAAAAGGAUGAGAGUGGAAAGUUCAGCCAUUGACGGUAUCUAGCCAGAAAGCCACGGCUAACUACGUG